rnacentral:misc_RNA from 1 species
AAGUCGUAACAAGGUUUCCGUAGGUGAACCUGCGGAAGGAUCAUUAAAAGAAUCUGCCUCACCCACAGAUAUCUUAUCACGUGUGAACUGUCUAGCUUGUCACCCGAGAUGGACACCUCAGAGAUCUCGGUCUUUGGGGGGUCUGUCUUGGGGGUCAGCUUAUGCUACUGAUUGUGCCCCGAGAAUCUUUAAAAGACUAUAAAACUUUUAGCAAUGGAUCUCUAGGCUCCU